GAUGAACGCUGGCGGCGUGCCUAAUACAUGCAAGUCGAGCGAACGGACGAGAAGCUUGCUUUUCUGAUGUUAGCGGCGGACGGGUGAGUAACACGUGGAUAACCUACCUAUAAGACUGGGAUAACUUCGGGAAACCGGAGCUAAUACCGGAUAAUAUUUUGAACCGCAUGGUUCAAAAGUGAAAGACGGUCUUGCUGUCACUAAUAGAUGGAUCCCGGCUGCAUGAGCUAGUUGGUAAGGUAACGGCUUACCAGGGCAACGAUGCCUAGACGACCUGAGAGAGGGAUCGGCCACCCGGGAACGGAGACAGGCUCAAUAGGACUACGGGAGGCACCAGACGGGAACGUGCGGCAGUGGGCGAAAGUCUGACGGAGUAAGGCGGCGUGAGUGAUAAAGGUCUCGGGAGCGUAAAACUGUGUUAUGGGUGAAAAACAGAUGUCUAAGGAACCGUACACUUCUUGACGGUAAUGAAUAAGAAAGCACCGGCUAACUACGUG
rnacentral:rRNA from 1 species